AUAUCGCAGAUCAUCAUAACUCUCAUCAGGAUUUGAGAAACAGGCCAUCUAAUUGCUUUGGAUCUCAGUUUGUUGAUCAAAAUCUGCAAAGCAUUUACAAACUACAAUGUCUCAGCAAGCUAAGAGGAACUAAAAUUCACACCAUGAAGAGCAAAUUAUUAAGGAAAAGCUAUCACUGGUUGCCUUUUAACCAUACAACUCAAUCUAAUUUGCUGUUGAAUCUGCAGGUAAGAGUUGCAGGAUAAAGUAAUCUCUAAAAGCUGAAGGCAGGGUAUUUGAAAACUUGAGCCAACCGUUGCAAAAGGAAUAAAAGAAGCCUUCAAACGGCAGAUUUCCAUCCUUUCAUGAUCAAGGGAAGAUACAAAAUGGUGAUUAUUUGAUCACUGGAUUUAAUUCUGGCCUUGAAAUGUUGAAAUGUCACAGACCCAUUUGGCCACUUCCAAGCUUGCAAGCAUUAGCCAUGGAUUUAGAGGUAAGAGACAAAGAUGACUUUUGGGUAUUGUGGAAGAGACUCAGCUCUUGGAUGUGGUCCAAAUAGAGAGUAAUCUGAUAGUACUUAUUUCUUAAUGCUUUUAACGUGUUUGAAAUUUAGAAUAUGACCGAGUCCAGUAAAUCUCUGGAGAAAUCUAGAUUAAUUUAAGAACGUGUGAAGACAUGGCAUUAGACGAGAUUUCUCAGCUCAAGCUUCAAUUAUUUAUCUGGUACAUUUGUUUCACUUGACCCUGAAAUUCUUUAAAAAUUUCCCUUCGUUUGUUUUCUUCAAUAUUUAUUUAUAUGGAAUUAAAAACAAAGACGACUCAAGCCAUAGACUUAGGUGUCGGAAGACUUGGAACUCAUAUGUCUCGGCCGGUAUCUUUACAGAUCGAUCGUAUCAUACCGAAUUGAACUGUUUUACCACUCAAAAUAUCUUUUUUUUUUACCGUUUUACUACCAUCGAUAUGUUAUUGGCCGAUUAUGAGUAUUGGUCAUGUAACCGAUUGUAUAACUGAGUGUCCCGUAUGCUAUGUCUGUAGCAAUUUGGCUGACUUGGUGUUGGCCAUCACGUUUUGGAAGCAUAGGAUGUUGGUCGUUUUUGUCCGUUAUUGGCUUUGCGUUGGACUGUAUGCAUACUGUGAUACUUUAUGUCUGGCAUGCGCCAUGCUAUUGGUCAUUUUGGAUAUAUUUAUUCUCGUGAUAAAGGAUAUUAUAUUUGCUUGGUGUUAUUUAUUUAGCAAGUUUGUUAGGAAAUCUUUUGGUUUUAACCAUUUUCUACCCUGGAAGACUAUUGUCUUUGGCAUGUCAAGCAGCUUGGUCACAUUCCAUUUCUGGGCCUUCGGUAUUUUGUACCUAAGCCUUGUGUUUUUCAUGCCUCUAUCUACUCUGUAUCUCUUAGUUUUAAUUGAAUGAAAUUGUCAAAAAAAAAAAAAAAUAUUAGUGUUUGAUGAACUCAUUCAUUCAUAUACAGAAAAUGUGAAUUUUGUAUAGAGAAUCAAUGAGAACAUGGUGAUGGUAGGUAGUUGCAUGCUUGUGGAGCCAUAUAUAAAAGAUGUGGUUGGUAGUUUGGUCGGAAGGUGAGGGCUUAGGGGGGCAUGUGAAAGAGUGGAAUCGUUAAGCGUAUAAACUUUAAUUAAGAAAUAAUUCUCAAAAUAUAUUUGGUCUUCCUUCUCUUGCAAAUGAUAUAAUAUAAAUGUGAUUAUUUUGAAUUAAAAUGAUUUAGAGAAGUCGUGAGCUAGUCGUGCUUCCCAGUACUUUGUAUGUUCUUAGAGAUCUGUUUUGACUUAGAGAGAGGUAAGCGUGAGACUUUGAAGAUCCCCAUUUGAAGUAUACACCGAGCAAGGAAUGUUCUUGAUAAGGACUGUUGCAGAGGAUCAGAACCGUCGAUUUGAUGAUCUCAGCCAUCUGAUCUCUUAAUGUUGGAUACGUGGAAGCUAAAGCGUUGACUUUUAAUUAAUCAACCAACCCCCACGGCCCCACCACAUUUCACAUUUUGUUUAUAUGUAUGACUUUGUGUUGCAAAAGACACGUGUUCACCAAAAAAAUUAGUUAAAGCACUCCACAAAUUAAAAACUGCAUCUUGGAUAAUUAAGAAUUGUUUAUUUAAAGGCCUCAUUUAGCCACGUCAAACCAUUAAGCAUUAAGAUUAGUCAUUAGAUUUUUAAGAUUAAUUAAAAGGGACGAUGAUAUUUUGUGAAAUUUCCAUGUGAUACCACAAGAAAAUCUCUUCAUUUAUUCAUAGUGAUUUGAUUUUAUGAUUGAACUUUUGAAACACUGAGUUCUGUCAUUAACUAUAUCUUUUCUCGAUACAGUCAAAGGACAGGGUCAAUGAUUAAAGAAAUUCUCUCUUCAUUGUGGAUAUUAGUUUUUCUACAUUUUGGUGGCAACACUGGUUGCUGGCAAAGAGGCUGGUUCUAUUGGGUUGGGCUUAAACCUCCUUAAUUGGCAAGAAAGAAUCCAAUUAAGACAGGAGAAAGGGUUUUCUACUUUACUGUAAAUUACUUGAUUUGGACACCUAUUUAUACUGCAUGGAAGAGUGACGUAACAAGUCUCUUGUUUUUUGGAAUGUAACAAUUCUAAUUGUUGUGUAAAAUUCCAUUCAAAUUCAAUAAUAUAUAUUCUCAUGUAUUUGUAUGAA